rnacentral:rRNA from 1 species
UAAGGAAUAUUGGUCAAUGGACGAAAGUCUGAACCAGCUAUGCCGCGUGAAGGAUUAAGGUCCUCUGGAUUGUAAACUUCUUUUAUAUGGGACGAAAAAAGGUCUUUCUAGAUCACUUGACGGUACCAUAUGAAUAAGCACCGGCUAACUCCGUGCCAGCAGCCGCGGUAAUACGGAGGGUGCAAGCGUUAUCCGGAUUCACUGGGUUUAAAGGGUGCGUAGGCGGGCAGGUAAGUCAGUGGUGAAAUC